rnacentral:lncRNA from 1 species
GAAGGAAGGGUUUAUGGUUGAGAGUGAGGAUUACGGAGGGAGUUGGCCGGAGAGGGUUCAAGUGACGAAGCAUGGUGGCGGUUGUGCGAUUUAAUGAUGGUUUGGAGGAAAAUCUAUGUUGAAGAAGAAAGGGGUUAUGUUGUGUAGAUGAUUUUAAGGGUGAAGGAUAUGAGAAGGUUUUGAUGAUGCUGGCAAAAGAGAUUGAGGGUGAGGUGUGAUGCGGUAUUAGUGAAAGAUGAAAGCCUCCCUGGUGUAUUAUGAAGUUGUCGGUUUAAAUGUGAAUCAAGGCCCUCUUGUUGCUGUCUGUGAGCUUAUUUUUCAUCUAUUGACUGUAUCAUUUCAAUUAUUCAUUCUUCUCAUGCUCUGGCUCAAGAAUAGGUGGGAAGGCUGGAGAGUCAAUAAUGAAGGGAAGUUUGAUCACUUGAACCCUUUGUUUUACCCACCGGAUGUAGGGUUCUCUAGCGAUGACAUUUUCCUCCCAUAUCUCUUGUUUACUUGGUGACAAAACAAUAUGCCUGUUCAUUUAACCGUAAAACUCCGACAGGGAUCCACGGUGUGGCCAUAAGGACGUGGGCCUGUUUCCGUGGCAUCUUCGUCAAGUACAGACCCAUCGUUUCUUGCUGAAGUAGCUGGAGUUUAAGUUGAAUAACUUGUUCUAGCCGCGCCGAAUCCGUGAACCUGCAUUUUUCAAGCUACCAGAACCAGUUCCACUCUCCAAACCAUCCCCACCUUCUCUUCACUAACAAAACCGAUGUCCUUCCGAGCGACUGAACCACCCUCGUUUGGUGGGCCGGUAGAAGACCAACAUCGGCACCGUUGAUUUCCAACUACUGGACCGCGUAAUAAGUUAUCUAACAUUCUACCGUUAGCUUUGUUUCAUCCAAACCUGAAUUUCAAAAUUCAUUUCCUUCCAACUCCACUUUGCAACUGAACCAUAACAAGAACAGCUUCUCAAACCUGCUAACAACUUUUUCACCUGGAUAAGUUAACAAAGUUAGUUCUGUUAACUCUUGCCCUCUCCUAUAAAAGGUUCGUCAUUCUCCAAUCCUGGGGGAUUCUUCAAUCUUCAUCACCCAUCAUCCUUCAGCCUUCGUCAUUUUGUCAACCUCACUCUCCUUCAACCUUCAAUCUUCUGUCAACUUCACUCGCCCUCAAACCUUCUUCAAUCUUCAAAUAAACCUCAUAAUAGAAUGACCAGAACCAAAUAAAAUCCUGUAUGCAUCAAAAUCCCGAUUUGAUGAGUUUUUCGCUUUGGUUGCAAUUCUGCUCUUUUCACGUUCGCGUACAUAAAAAUGGUAAUGAAAUCCGGCUGAUGCGAUUUCGGAAAGGGAAUGUGACCUCGGAGUCAUAUUUCUUCGUCACUCUUCGAAGUUUGAAUGCGACGGAAUCAUGAUGUCGUAUAGCCGUUCGAGACCUGAGCAUCGAAGACUUACUUUGAACUUGAUUCCACCAUGUCUGACACCAAGACGAAGUGUUCGUAGUGAUACCAGAUUCACGCAAGGCCAAAAUCAAGCGUUGCUUCAUUCUAAAUCGGUGCAUGGAGGAGAAAUUUGAAGGAGAUUUGAUGUUGUGGGUAAGUCGGCGGAGGGUGGAGACGGCGUGGAGAUGUGCCGGUUUUGUGAGGGACUGGAUCUCUUCCAAAUUGAAUCUCAGAUGGUCUUUUUAUGGUUUUUGAGUUGUGUGAUAUGGAGAAGUGGGGUUUCGUGUGACAAUGAAGAAGGUUUGGAUGUUGACGGCGAUGUGGUGGUGUCGCUCCCCGGAUUUCCCGAAUCCAAGUACAAACGCGAAAAGGAGUGGCGAGGAAAAAGAGUAGAGUCGCCAGCUAUGUCCUUUUAUCCCAAGAGGAGGGAAAGGUAGUACUGCAUAACCAAGAGGGAACAGAUAAAAUAAAGUCUCGAACCAAAGAAAACUGAGUAAGGGGGCCGGUUACGUGAAGGGAAGGUUAUCGCACCUCUUCACGUCUGUGGUACUCAACAGGAUCCACGCUUGCUAUUUAUGUCUAAAGUGUGUGUAUAAAAGUCCUAUAUGCGAUGCGAUAGAGAGAAAAUCAAAGUAGGGAAAAGAAAGAGUUAUUGCUCGCACAGGCCCUACCCUGCUACAUACGUAUCUCAAGAAGGAUUGAGAAUCAGAGCACCGUAGCUCGGCUAACCUAUUUUUGUUUGUUAACCAAAACCAACAACCUCCAAACAUGUUCACCCUUAACCUUCCAAGAACGACUUUCACAUCAAUCAAAUAUAAAGAAUUCGUAGAAACAAAAGCAAACAGACAUAGAAUAGGUGAAGAAGAGACGAAUAGAACAAUGACCACACAAGCAGGAGCGGAAGAAUUUGAGACUGUGCGAGGAACGAGGUUACCGUAGAGGCCAAUGAUGACGCGUCCGAGUGAGGUGGAAUAUAAGCAUAGAGUGGAAAUGUUGUCUCCUAGGGUGCGAUUUGGGAGGUAAUAGUUGGGGCAGAGGCUGAAUUCCAUGAAGACGCGGUCGGUGAUGGUGGGGUUUGGUGGUUGUGUUGGUGAGGCGGAAGAGGAAAGGGUGGGGAAAUAAAGAGUGGCGGUGGAUGUGAGGAGGAGUGAGCGGCGGGUGAGGUUGGAUUUGGGAAAUGAGUGGUGGAGAGAGAGUGAGGGUUUCGUGAGGGAGUGAAGGAAGAAAAAGAGAUUUUUUUUUUAUCUUUUCAGAGAAGUGAGAGAGAAGAGAGAGGGU